GGUGGCUCAGUGGUAGAGCGCUUGCCUUGCAUCCAUGAGGCCCUAGGUUCGAUUCCUCAGCACCA
rnacentral:tRNA from 1 species